GCCGGGUUAGCUCAAUCGGUAGAGCGUGCGGCUCUUAGAUCCCCCGUAUCUCGGGUAAGACGGCGGUGUCAUGUGACCGCAAGGUUGCGGGUUCGACCCCCGCGUUCGGCU
rfam:Paracoccidioides brasiliensis Pb18 unplaced genomic scaffold supercont2.8, whole genome shotgun sequence.